rnacentral:misc_RNA from 1 species
GUUAAUGACGGUCGUCAGUGCAGACAAUUUUGACAGUUAUGUGAUUGAGGGCUUUAAUGGAAUCUAAAACUUGUAUCUCAACUUUAUCUGCAGAAGACCUGCGGUUGCAUCUCCUUUCGACUAACAAACUGCCGGCUGUAAUUCCAGAAAAAUUGCUAGCUGCUGAUAUUGAUGGACAGUGCCUUCUCUGUUUAGAUGAAGCAAAUGUUGAAGUACUUCAACUAACACUGGGACACAAGAUGAAACUGCUUAGUUUCAUAAAAACAAUCAAAAGUCAGCAGCCCCAAGAGCAAGAAAAGGAAUCUACUGGAAUUGUGGCUUGUGAUCCUACGAUAGAAUACGAACCAAUCGUCAACGAGAAUCAGAUACUUGAUAUCAUUGUGACGGACCAACCUUCAAAUAACAAUGUGAUUGAUUUCAACGUCAUCGACAUUUUAAAUGCGACCGACGAGGGGAAAGUAAUUGUGCAAAACUACCUGGAACGACUUGAGGCUUUCAUUACUGAAAAAGAGCGCAUCACAAUUGUUCAGAUCCUAGUGAAUCGCUUAGUGACAUUGACUGGAAAACUCGACUUAUUUCCCCCGACGGAGAAAAGAAAAAAUCUUGGUGAAGCCAUAGUGGCUGCGUUUCCUUGCCUGGGAAUCAACGUGGAUGGCAAAGUGUUUUCUUGUCAUUUCUAUAAUCAAACAACUGGAUCUGGUUUUAUUGAGACAAGGCUGAAAAGACUGAGGGAAGUUCAUCGUGAAGAACCACGCCGGAAGAGGCCAACACAGGACUCUUCUCCAAUCCAAAAAAACCGCGUGUCACGAAACGGCCUCAUGUAAAGAAAAAUGCCGACUACAUCUUCAAUGAAGCCGAAUGCCAGUUUAAGGUUGAAUGGUUGAAGAGUCAUCCGCCUGGAGGAGAUAAUGACACAGUCAUCAUUGAGUACAGCAAGGCGACUUUUGGGUAUCGCCAAAAAGAAAUCAAACAAACUCUGACUGAACCUGGUCUCAUCAUGAAAGAAUAUCCCCGCUUCAAGGACUUCCAAAAUGGAUCUCUGUUUCAGGUAGAAUUUCAGUUACUCUAUCCCGAUGCCAAGAACUUCGAAAAAGUCUUUAAA